CCUANGGGUGGCUGCAGUGGGGAAUCUUGCGCAAUGGGGGAAACCCUGACGCAGCAACGCCGCGUGAGUGACGAAGGCCUUCGGGUCGUAAAGCUCUGUCAGAUGGAAAGAAUUAAUUCGCUGAAAAUAUUGGCGAAUGAUGACGGUACCAUCAGAGGAAGCACCGGCUAACUCCGUGCCAGCAGCCGCGGUAAUACGGAGGGUGCAAGCGUUGUUCGGAAUUAUUGGGCGUAAAGCGCGUGUAGGCGGGAAAGCAGGUCAGGUGUGAAAUCCCUUGGCCUAACCAAGGAACUGCAUCUGAAACCAUUUUCCUCGAGUACGAUAGGGGAGGGCGGAAUUCCCAGUGUAGAGGUGAAAUUCAUAGAUAUUGGGAGGAACACCAGUGGCGAAGGCGACCCUCUGGAUCGAUACUGACGCUGAGACGCGAAAGCGUGGGUAGCAAACAGGAUUAGAUACCCCGNUANUC
rnacentral:rRNA from 1 species